AAGUGAACAGUCAGUUCUCAAAGUCGAUGUGUUGGAAGCAAGAAAAAUGGGCAAGUGUAAGGAUCUGAGCGACUUUGACAAGGGCCAAAUUGUGACGGAUAGAUGACCAGGUGGCGGUAACACACCAUAACUUUAGUUGUCAAACCGCCUCAAUUCAGAAGAAGAAGAAGAGGAGCAGCAGGAGGGGCAACAGUAGAAGAGAGAAUCUCGUAUGUACUCCCGUGUGUUAAAUAAGUUAACUUAUUUACAGAAGUUAUUGUUGUUGUUUUUGUAAGUAAUCACACUUAUAUACGGUGUUUCUCGGAGACGCCCUCGUUUACACUAGUCCAUACCGCCAGGUGGCGGUAAAUACACCACAAGAACCCGAGAACCGCCUCAAUUCAAAGAAGAAGAAGAAGAAGCAGUAGAAAAGAACACGCAUGCGCAGAAGCUGUAUAUUCUCCAGACGGCACGUGGGAAUGUCUGUGCUCAGAGAAAGGUAUUGUACUUACUGAAAAAGCCAUUCGCGUUAACAAGAAAGGAAAAAAAAAAAAUCAGUGUUUCCAGAUUCUGAUUGUAAAACCUGUUUCUUAAAUCAGUUCUUCAUAUUACAAUUAUUAUCCCCAGAUGUUUCCUGUCUGCGUAAAGUCAGACUGCAGCACUGCAGACGAGCACGUGCUUGGAGGUGACGAAAAGGAGGAAGGUUAAUCUUUUUACUGCACACCAAUUCAUGGUGUUUCAAAAGAGAUCCGAGAUAGUUCAAAUCUUAAGGAAAAGAAAAGUCUGCAUUGACUGAGAUUGCCCCCUCUCCGUAAUCCCCCAGAGUCCCUGACUGCAUGGGAUUCUCGAAGGUCAAGAUCUGUUGGAGAGGUGAUGGAUUUUGUAAACUCGAGCUCCAGUGUGCUGUGGCGUAGGAGGCUGUUAUGUUUGUGAUUCUGUGGAUGUUACUGCACUACACAUUCUCCUAAUCUUAUGUCCAUGUUUAUUAAAUUACUACAUUAAAACUACUGAAAUUCUAACCACUUAUGGCUGAGUGUGAUUUUUUAUUAUUUUUGUUGCUCUGAUUUUUCUGAUCAAUAAUUUUGAAUGUAGUGUGUUUGUACUGUUUAAAAUACCUCACAACUGACUUUUGUUUGAUUAAAGAAUUGAAGACACAUUUAAUAAUGGUUGCUAAGUUAUGAGUUUUUUUUUUUAUGUUGGAACACUGUCACAUUGAGAUUUUAAAUAUGUUCUAACAAAUAUGCACAGAAACAUGUCUGUGAUGUCUCUUACGGCUAGCGAUAUGAGCCACGUGAUACCACAGUGCACCAUCCUCACACCAUGUCUCUAGGACCCUUUGAUUGGUAUCCAUCUUAUGCCUGAUUAUAAAUAUAAUAAACUCACGAUUGCCAUUGCGCAGUGAUUGUUAAACUUACUUUAAAUAAAACAAUCUUAAGACAACUUAUUCUGAAAUGUUAUUUAGUUUGAGCUAAAAUUAAUACAACGAUCUAAAAGUUUAAGGUAAAAGUUUUGCUCAUUCACUGUAAGCUACUUUCCAGUAUCAUGUCAGACAUUACAGAUAACUAUUUGGCCUGCUUUGUAUAAUAUAGUGCUUUCAUUAAUUUAUUUCUAUUUAUUUAGCUGUUCAUUUCAAUCAUUUCACUCCCAACAAGUUUGCCAAUGAAAUUCUGCCCAAAAUCAGGCACUUAAAUGUACAACUAAAUGGGUCCUCCGAGAGCCGUUGAUUUUGAAUCAUCCAUUCGGAUCAAUACAGGAAGCGACACGAUUUGGGGCUUGUGCAGAAUAUGGUACAACACGUACAGUAGUGACGUAGUCUCUUGUUGACUUUUGCUUUCAGUUCAGUAGUACCAGAUUCUGCGUUACUGUUUACGCCUGGCUGAAUGCGCAGGUGUCACGCGUUUAACACCGAUUAAUGCAGCAUUGAUGUCAUCAUGGACCCAAUGGUUAUUGAAGUUCAUGGAGUUCCCUGCAUUCCUCCUCAUGACCGGAUGGUUGAUCAGCUAAAGAUACACUUCCUGAAGCGGAGGAAUAGUGGUGGUGAUGUUUUAACAGUGAUUUAUCCAACUUCUGCUCCAGGCCAGGCAUAUGUCAUAUUUGAAUCAACUGAAGUUCCUGGAGUCUUGGCACAUACUCAUGUUCUAGAUGUUGACAACAGAUUUUAUCCAAUACACGUAAAGAAAGCUCAUUUGUCUGAGGUGGACAUGAAAGUUAAGACCAUGCUGGACUUGAGGAUGUUCCCAAAGCCAGAAUCAGUCUUGAAGCUCCUUAACAAUUAUGGCUUUAACGUAACAGAAUCCAGUUCAGGUCAUGUCCAGUUGAAGGGCUCCUUCUUGAAACUAAAGCUCAUACACAGUGAACUCAUACAGCUUCAGGGUCACGGACAUCACUCCCAUAGUAAAUCUCCAUCUGCUAUUCACAAUGGCUCCUCUUUGGGGUAUGACAUGGAGCGUAAGAGUUUGGAUCCCAGAUUUUGUUCCAAGUCCACAUCGAGGAAUAUGGAUAAAAUGGAUGCUGUCAGUCAGCAGCAGUUACUUGAUAAUGCACUGUCAUCUUCAUAUAGAGAUUCGGCAUCUGGUGGAUCUCCCAGGAGUCUUCAAAGCAGACAUUCAUCCUACACUGAAAGAAAUGCAAGCAGCCCAAUGGAUGCUGCUGUUCAAAAAUUUCAAAGACUGGACAGCAACGAACUGCUUGCUCAGAGACGGAGCCCCCAUGCUGAUGGUGCAUCAUCAUUAUCAGCAAAUUCUCCAUCUAGUCUCACAUCGCUACACCACACAUCUCCAUUGUAUAAUGAUUCAGCCUCAGGUGGAUACCCCAGGAGUCUUCACAGCAGCUACUACUCCUCUAUUGGAAGUACUAGCUAUAAAGUGGACACUGAUAUCCCAGACUAUGUGCACACGCAACAGCAAAACGUCAUGAGCAAUGAAAUGCUUGCUCAUAGAAGGAGCCACCUUGUUGAUGUUCCAUCCUCGUCAAAAACCUCUACAUACAGCCCCACAAUGCAACACCACACAUCUUAUAGAUAUUCACCCUCAAAUGGAUCUCUUAGGAACUUCCAAGAUGAUACUAGGGCCAGGUCCACUCACACCAGUCCCUCAUCCUCCAGUUUAGGAAUGGCAAGCUUUCCAGUGGACACAGAUAUCAUAAACUUUAUACUCACCCAACGGCAGAAUGAUCUUAAGCGGAUUAGGAAGGACUAUGGUACUGAGAUGAAUAUAAAAGAUGGUGUUGGCUUUACAACGGUCACGUUUUUGGGAAAUAACAGUGAGAAAGCUGAAGCAUGUCUUCUGAACCUCAUUGAGGAGAUCGGACCUUCACUGCGCACCCAAGAAAUACAUCUGAAGGAAUAUGACAGUGUUAAAAAAAGCAGAUCCUUGAGAGAAUCGAAGGUAAUAAAGACUCGGGUGUUUCCAUCACACACACUGAUGAUGUUGUAAAGCUGGUGGGAGACUCAAGAGGAAGCUUUGAGAUGAUGCAAAAGCUACUAGGACACAAUGAUGCCUCUCAUAGAGGAAGGGCCAUGGAGAGGGGCUCAAAAUCCAGGAGAAGCUCUUCUCUACCCAGACAGUAUAAGAUGGCUGCCAAUGCCCGUGUUACCACUCCUGAAAAUCAGACAAGUGCUGCAAGAAAAUACUCUCCUUCACAUUAUCAAGAGAAAUCAGAUGAAGGAAAAGCUCAGCAGAUUGUUCAAGGCCCUGAACAGACUCCAGACAAGAAGUCCCAACGGACACGCAGCAAUUCAGAGUCUCGAGACAAAAACAGGACAACCAAGGAGCAGGCGUUACCUCAAGUGGAAUUAGAGUCGCCAGGUCGAGGAAAGAAGUCCCUAAAAGAGUAUGGCAUUAACUUCCUAAAACGACUCGAUCCAAAUACUAAAAAUAUUGAUUAUAGAAUGGCUAUGCGUAAAAAAAGUCAUUCUACACCCAAAAACCCUGACUAAAUUGCUGUUUGCUGAUAUACAGAAAGUCAGCAAAAUUAUUAAAAAGUAUUCUAUGAUCUUCAGUACACACUGUUCAUGUGCAUUUUAGGUGAUUUCUUUUAUUUUUAUAAUCAAGAUAUUUGUAAUGUUAAACAAUAAAUAAACUACAUUUCAUGGUUUUGAACAAUGUAUCCUACAAUAACUAACCAGCACUGAUUUAUUAUUUCUGGAAUAAAAAAAAAUGUAAAGUCAUG
ensembl:lncRNA